CCUACGGGGGGCAGCAGUGGGGAAUAUUGGACAAUGGGGGGAACCCUGAUCCAGCCAUGCCGCGUGUGUGAAGAAGGCCCUCGGGUUGUAAAGCACUUUCAGUGAGGAAGAACGCCUGGUGGUUAAUACCCAUCAGGAAAGACAUCACUCACAGAAGAAGCACCGGCUAACUCCGUGCCAGCAGCCGCGGUAAUACGGAGGGUGCGAGCGUUAAUCGGAAUUACUGGGCGUAAAGCGCGCGUAGGUGGCUUGAUAAGCCGGUUGUGAAAGCCCCGGGCUCAACCUGGGAACGGCAUCCGGAACUGUCAAGCUAGAGUGCAGGAGAGGAAGGUAGAAUUCCCGGUGUAGCGGUGAAAUGCGUAGAGAUCGGGAGGAAUACCAGUGGCGAAGGCGGUCUUCUGGACUGACACUGACACUGAGGUGCGAAAGCGUGGGUAGCAAACAGGAUUAGAUACCCUGGUAGUC
rnacentral:rRNA from 1 species